GGGCACGUAGAUCAGCGGUAGAUCGCUUCGUUCGCAACGAAGAGGCCGAGGGUUCGAUUCCCUCCGUGUCCA
rnacentral:tRNA from 1 species